AUCGCUCAACGGAUAAAAGGUACUCCGGGGAUAACAGGCUGAUACCGCCCAAGAGUUCAUAUCGACGGCGGUGUUUGGCACCUCGAUGUCGGCUCAUCACAUCCUGGGGCUGAAGUAGGUCCCAAGGGUAUGGCUGUUCGCCAUUUAAAGUGGUACGCGAGCUGGGUUUAGAACGUCGUGAGACAGUUCGGUCCCUAUCUGCCGUGGGCGCUGGAGAACUGAGGGGGGCUGCUCCUAGUACGAGAGGACCGGAGUGGACGCAUCACUGGUGUUCGGGUUGUCAUGCCAAUGGCACUGCCCGGUAGCUAAAUGCGGAAGAGAUAAGUGCUGAAAGCAUCUAAGCACGAAACUUGCCCCGAGAUGAGUUCUCCCUGAGACUUAGAGUCUCCUGAAGGAACGUUGAAGACGACGACGUUGAUAGGCCGGGCGUGUAAGCGCAGCGAUGCGUUGAGCUAACCGGUACUAAUGAACCGUGAGGCUUAACCUUACAACGCCGAAG
rnacentral:rRNA from 2 species